CACAUUGACUAAGUUAUACUGUGUAAACUUACACUUCAGAAUAUCAACCAUCUAUUCCUGUAUUAUAAAGUAAUAUACUAAUGUGAUACAGUAGUGCAGGAAUACUUUUCUCCUGUUCAUUCAUUGUGGAGAUUCUGUACAGAAUUCAGUGUUCCAAUUUAGCAUGAUUUAUGCUUUAACUUCCUUUGAGAUGGUUAUUCAAAUAUACACUCUGUUUAUGAAUGUGAGAAGUUUAGCACAUGACCAUAGACCAGUAAAUAUUCCUUGUUAUUUUUGUAGUCUCUAAAAUUCAGUUUGAUUCUGCAUGAGAUUUCUGGGACUCUGAUAGACAAAUUAAAAUAACCCUUUUAUUCUAACAGACAGACUCCUAUGUGAAAUAUUGUCUAAAAUUAUUUCAAAGUUGUUGCUGUGCAACUUUCCUGGAGAUCAAAGUCUUUCUUUGUUGACAUUAUUCAUUACAGUAUACCACACCUACAACAUACUGCUUAGCAAGGUCAUUAGUGCUUACAUGAUUCAGUUAUUAUAAUUGCUUACCUAAUUGUGACAGAAUGGGGACUGUGGGGAUUGUAUUCUCCUUGUUAUGUUGCAGGUGAUUUCUACUGUCCUGUAGUAACCCCAUGUAUGUGCCUCAGUUUCCCAGUAUUUAGAUGUUGAUGGGAAUUUUGGUGUGAUAGCCUUCCCCACAUGUAUAAUGGCUGAUGCUUUUUGUAACCUGAGCCCGGGGGAGGUGUAACCAGGUGAUACCUUUUGCCCAGGAAACAGGACAAAGGCCAGAGGCGGGGCAGGCUGCUGGGCACGUGACUUAAUCUUGUUAGCCUGGGGUUUCCCCAAGAUGGAUUGUACUGAUCACUUCUGGUUACUCUGCUGACAAGUCUAUUCUUUGCUGUGUCCCUGCUGACAAAUAAAUCUUCUAUUC